CCUGGUAGCUAAGUGGUACAGAAUCUGCCUGCAAUGCAGUAGACCCUGGUUUGAUUCCUGGGUCAGGA
rnacentral:tRNA from 1 species